rnacentral:rRNA from 1 species
ACGCCCGAUCUCGUCUGAUCUCGGAAGU